rnacentral:rRNA from 1 species
CCUACGGGUGACAGCAGUGAGGAAUAUUGGUCAAUGGACGAGAGUCUGAACCAGCCAAGUAGCGUGAAGGAUGACUGCCCUAUGGGUUGUAAACUUCUUUUAUAUGGGAAUAAAAUGUUCCACGUGUGGGAUUUUGUAUGUACCAUAUGAAUAAGGAUCGGCUAACUCCGUGCCAGCAGCCGCGGUAAUACGGAGGAUCCGAGCGUUAUCCGGAUUUAUUGGGUUUAAAGGGAGCGUAGGUGGAUUGUUAAGGCAGUUGUGAAAGUUUGCGGCUCAACCGUAAAAUUGCAGUUGAAACUGGCAGUCUUGAGUACAGUAGAGGUGGGCGGAAUUCGUGGUGUAGCGGUGAAAUGCUUAGAUAUCACGAAGAACUCCGAUUGCGAAGGCAGUUCACUGGACUGCAACUGACACUGAGGCUCGAAAGUGUGGGUAUCAAACAGGAUUAGAUACCCUUGUAGUC